GACGAACGCUGGCGGCGUGCUUAACACAUGCAAGUCGAACGGAAAGGCCCUGCUUUUGUGGGGUGCUCGAGUGGCGAACGGGUGAGUAACACGUGAGUAACCUGCCCUUGACUUUGGGAUAACUUCAGGAAACUGGGGCUAAUACCGGAUAGGAGCUCCUACUGCAUGGUGGGGGUUGGAAAGUUUCGGCGGUUGGGGAUGGACUUGCGGCUUAUCAGCUUGUUGGUGGGGUAGUGGCUUACCAAGGCUUUGACGGGUAGCCGGCCUGAGAGGGUGACCGGCCACAUUGGGACUGAGAUACGGCCCAGACUCCUACGGGAGGCAGCAGUGGGGAAUAUUGCACAAUGGGCGGAAGCCUGAUGCAGCAACGCCGCGUGCGGGAUGACGGCCUUCGGGUUGUAAACCGCUUUCGCCUGUGACGAAGCGUGAGUGACGGUAAUGGGUAAAGAAGCACCGGCUAACUACGUGCCAGCAGCCGCGGUGAUACGUAGGGUGCGAGCGUUGUCCGGAUUUAUUGGGCGUAAAGGGCUCGUAGGUGGUUGAUCGCGUCGGAAGUGUAAUCUUGGGGCUUAACCCUGAGCGUGCUUUCGAUACGGGUUGACUUGAGGAAGGUAGGGGAGAAUGGAAUUCCUGGUGGAGCGGUGGAAUGCGCAGAUAUCAGGAGGAACACCAGUGGCGAAGGCGGUUCUCUGGGCCUUUCCUGACGCUGAGGAGCGAAAGCGUGGGGAGCGAACAGGCUUAGAUACCCUGGUAGUCCACGCUGUAAACGGUGGGUACUAGGCGUGGGGUCCAUUCCACGGGUUCCGUGCCGUAGCUAACGCUUUAAGUACCCCGCCUGGGGAGUACGGCCGCAAGGCUAAAACUCAAAGGAAUUGACGGGGCCCCGCACAAGCGGCGGAGCAUGCGGAUUAAUUCGAUGCAACGCGUAGAACCUUACCUGGGUUUGACAUGGAUCGGGAGUGCUCAGAGAUGGGUGUGCCUCUUUUGGGGUCGGUUCACAGGUGGUGCAUGGCUGUCGUCAGCUCGUGUCGUGAGAUGUUGGGUUAAGUCCCGCAACGAGCGCAACCCUUGUUCACUGUUGCCAGCACGUUAUGGUGGGGACUCAGUGGAGACCGCCGGGGUCAACUCGGAGGAAGGUGGGGAUGACGUCAAGUCAUCAUGCCCCUUAUGUCCAGGGCUUCACGCAUGCUACAAUGGCUGGUACAGAGAGUGGCGAGCCUGUGAGGGUGAGCGAAUCUCGGAAAGCCGGUCUCAGUUCGGAUUGGGGUCUGCAACUCGACCUCAUGAAGUCGGAGUCGCUAGUAAUCGCAGAUCAGCAACGCUGCGGUGAAUACGUUCCCGGGGCU
rnacentral:rRNA from 1 species